AACCAGACUCCUACGGGAGGCAGCAGUGGGGAAUAUUGCACAAUGGGGGAAACCCUGAUGCAGCAACGCCGCGUGAGUGAAGAAGUAUUUCGGUAUGUAAAGCUCUAUCAGCAGGGAAGAGAAUGACGGUACCUGACUAAGAAGCCCCGGCUAACUACGUGCCAGCAGCCGCGGUAAUACGUAGGGGGCGAGCGUUAUCCGGAUUUACUGGGUGUAAAGGGAGCGUAGACGGUCCUGCAAGCCAGAUGUGAAAGCCCGGGGCUCAACCCCGGGACUGCAUUUGGAACUGUAAGGCUAGAGUGUCGGAGAGGCAGGCGGAAUUCCUAGUGUAGCGGUGAAAUGCGUAGAUAUUAGGAGGAACACCAGUGGCGAAGGCGGACUGCUGGACGAUGACUGACGUUGAGGCUCGAAAGCGUGGGGAGCAAACAGGAUUAGAUACCCUUGUAAAC
rnacentral:rRNA from 1 species